rnacentral:rRNA from 1 species
UACGUAGGGUGCAAGCGUUAAUCGGAAUUACUGGGCGUAAAGCGUGCGCAGGCGGUUUUUGUAAGUCAGAUGUGAAAUCCCCCGGGCUUAACCUGGGAACUGCGUUUUGAAACUACAAGGCUAGAGUGUAGCAGAGGGGGGGUGGAAUUCCACGUGUAGCAGUGAAAAUGCGUAGAGAUGUGGAGGAACACCGAUGGGCGAAGGCAGCCCCCCUGGGUUAACACUGACGCUCAGGCACGAAAGCGUGGGGAGCAAACAGG